rnacentral:misc_RNA from 1 species
UACGAAGGCCCCAAGCGUUAUCCGGAAUUACUGGGCGUAAAGCGUCCGCAGGUUGUUUGUUAAGUAUGCUGUCAAAUCUUGAGGCUCAACCUCAAGGCCGCAGCGUAAACUAGCAAACUAGAGGGUGGGAGAGGCAUCUGGAAUUGUCGGUGUAGUAGUAAAAUGCGUUAAUAUCGACAGGAACACCAAAAGCGAAGGCAUGAUGCUGGAACACUCCUGACACUCAGGGACGAAAGCGUGGGUAGCGAAUCGG